rnacentral:lncRNA from 1 species
UGUGUUAUUGUUUAUAUUGGUUUUUUUCUUUUUAUUUGUUGACCGUACAUGGGAAGGAAAAUAAUACCUGACGAUUGGACAAAACGCACAAUAAUAAAGUUAGCCAAGAAAGGAGCUCAAAGUGAUUGUAACAACUGGCGAGGUAUAACUUUAUUGUCAAUCCCAAGUAAAAUCAUAGCCAAAAUUAUUAUCCAAAGAAUAAUAAAUGCAGUUGAUAAACAGCUAAAAAAAAGAGCAAGCGGGAUUCCGUAAAGGUAGAGGGUGCAUUGAUCAAAUCUUUGCUUUACGUAACAUCAUCGAACAAUGUACAGAAUGGCAAAGACAGCUCUACAUCAACUUUUUGGAUUUUCAGAAGGCUUUUGACAGUAUCAACCGAAAGACCUUGUGGCGAAUACUCAGAUCAUAUGGAAUUCCAAAAGAAAUAAUUGAGCUCAUAAAAAGUUUCUACAACAAUUUCACAUGCAGUGCAGGGCAAAAUAACAUCUGGUUUGAUGUAUUUUCAAUGUCGUCAUUGACUGGGUAAUGAGAAAAAACAACGGAAGAUGCUCCAAGAGGAAUAAGAUGGAACAUUUCAUCAACAUUGGAGAUCUUGAUUUUGCUGAUGAUCUUGCUCUUUUAUCGCAUACCCACCACCAUUUACAAGAGAAGACAAACCGCCUAAAUACUUAUGCUAGUCAAGUUGGACUUAAAAUCAG